rnacentral:rRNA from 1 species
ACUCCUACGGGAGGCAGCAGUGAGGAAUAUUGCACAAUGGGCGAAAGCCUGAUGCAUCAACGCCGCGUGCGGGACGAAGGCCUUCGGGUCGUAAACCGCUUUUCUGGGGGACGAGUAAGGACGGUACCUCAGGAAUAAGUCUCGGCUAACUACGUGCCAGCAGCCGCGGUAAUACGUAGGAGGCGAGCGUUAUCCGGAUUUACUGGGCG